rnacentral:lncRNA from 10 species
AUUGAAUUGAAGAGAGUCACCAUUGAAGAUGUGGAGCUGCCCAGUGAGUGGGUCCAGGAAUCCCUGCUGGGAGGUGAAUCACCCAAACAGGAGCGCCCACAUGGAUGGAGAUACGCACAAGAGGUGUGACAGGGCUGCAGCUGCCCCCAGGCCCGCCCCACCACCAUCUCCUUCCCUCCCAGGGAGCCCAGGCAGCCUCCAUCUCCUUCUUUGCACUGCCCUGUGCUGUCUUGCAGCCACCCUUUCAGCCCUGUGUCCUUCCUGCAGCCCCUACCCUGCUGUCCACUUCUCCGGAAGCCCUCUUCACCCUAGCCUUGGGACCUGCUCACUCCUCCUCCAGCCCUGCA